UGCAAGUCGAACGCGAAAGGGACUCGGUCCUGAGUAAAGUGGCGCACGGGUGAGUAACGCGUGGAUAAUCUGCCCUUAUGAUCGGGAUAACAGUUGGAAACGGCUGCUAAUACCGGAUACGCUCAAAAUGAACUUUUUGAGGAAAGAUGGCCUCUGCUUGCAUGCUAUCACGUAAGGAUGAGUCCGCGUCCCAUUAGCUUGUUGGCGGGGUAACGGCCCACCAAGGCAACGAUGGGUAGCCGAUUUGAGAGGAUGAUCGGCCACACUGGAACUGAAACACGGUCCAGACUCCUACGGGAGGCAGCAGUGGGGAAUAUUGCGCAAUGGGCGAAAGCCUGACGCAGCGACGCCGCGUGAGGGAUGAAAGGUUUUCGGAUCGUAAACCUCUGUCAGAAGGGAAGAAACUACGUUGUGCUAAUCAGCAGCGUACUGACGGUACCUUCAAAGGAAGCACCGGCUAACUCCGUGCCAGCAGCAGC
rnacentral:rRNA from 1 species